rnacentral:rRNA from 1 species
GAUGAACGCUGGCGGCGUGCCUAAUACAUGCAAGUCGAGCGAACAGACGAGGAGCUUGCUCCUCUGACGUUAGCGGCGGACGGGUGAGUAACACGUGGAUAACCUACCUAUAAGACUGGGAUAACUUCGGGAAACCGGAGCUAAUACCGGAUAAUAUAUUGAACCGCAUGGUUCAAUAGUGAAAGACGGUUUUGCUGUCACUUAUAGAUGGAUCCGCGCCGCAUUAGCUAGUUGGUAAGGUAACGGCUUACCAAGGCAACGAUGCGUAGCCGACCUGAGAGGGUGACCGGCCACACUGGAACUGAGACACGGUCCAGACUCCUACGGGAGGCAGCAGUAGGGAAUCGUCCGCAAAGGGCGAAAGCCUGACGGAGCAACGCCGCGUGAGUGAUGAAGGUCUUCGGAUCGUAAAACUCUGUUAUGAGGGAAGAACAAAUGUGUAAGUAACUAUGCACGUCUUGACGGUACCUAAUCAGAAAGCCACGGCUAACUACGUG